GGGACAAACCUGGGUACAACUUGUGUAUGCGUGUGGGUACCAUGUACCACCUAUACAGCGUUUUUCUGUAUUGCUCUAGUAAUGUUUCUGACUUAAUCAGUCGUCUGGUUGUCACUAUAGUGUACUCCCAUUGGUCUUUACGGGCACUGUAGGUCAUGUACCCAUUGCUUAGCUGGGCUAGAGUACGCAAAGUGUUUUGUGGGUAGCACCAGGAGAGUGGCUUACACGUUGGCUUCAGUGAGCCCUUAAUAGUCAUUUGCUCCCAGCUCAUUACAGCUAGGGUGGUGUCGUCUGGGGUGGUGUGCUUAUGCAUGAAGGAGCCCAAUUGCAUGUGGGAGAACUGUGAGGCCAUCGGUAUGUGAUAUUCCUCUUGUAGGGCUUGAAAG